rnacentral:snRNA from 1 species
AGAUAUGAGGGUGAUCUGGCUUCAACAUCUGUCACUCCACUGAUUGCUAGAGUUGAUUUGGCUGAUCUGGUGGGCUAGACAGGUGGUUCUUCCUCCCUCACUGCUUCCUGCAUGUCCCUUCUGAAGCUCCAUACUCAACAGAAGAGGUUGAUCAUCCCAGACAGAAGGAGUGCACCCAUCUUCAUACUACUGUAGAGUUAUACAAUAGUUGUGCUUCCCUGCUACAAAUCCAAACAAGUUCAGCAUUGCAUAGCAAGUUAAACCUGCUAUGGGAAAUUAUAAUUAGGACUCCUGCCUUU